CACCAGGUUCCUGCAGGACAGUGUAGAGCACUGCAUCAUAGGAGUGACAAUCCUGUCCCAAUUAACGAAUGAAAUUAAUCAAGCCGACACCACCCACCCCCUGACCAAGCACAGGAAAAUCGCCUCUUCCUUCCGAGAUUCCUCUUUAUUCGAUAUUUUCACCCUCUCCUGCAGUUUACUGAAACAGG